rnacentral:rRNA from 1 species
UGAGGAAUAUUGGACAAUGGGCGGCAGCCUGAACCAGCCACCCCGCGUGAAGGAAGAAUGCGCUAUGCGUUGUAAACUUCUUUUUCAGGGGGAUAACAUUCUGCAUGUAUACAGGACUGAAGGUACCCUGAGAAUAAGCCACGGCUAACUCCGUGCCAGCAGCCGCGGUAAUACGGAGGAUGCGAGCGUUAUCCGGAUCUAUUGGGUUUAAAGGGUGCGUAGGCGGAAUAAUAAGUCAGUGGUGAAACCCUGCAGCUUAACUGUGGAAUUGCCUUUUAUACUG